rnacentral:rRNA from 1 species
GACGAACGCUGGCGGCGUGCCUAACACAUGCAAGUCGAGCGAAGUGAGUACUACGGUACGAACUUAGCGGCGGACGGGUGAGUAACGCGUGGACAAUCUACCCUGUAGACUGGGAUAACACCUCGAAAGGGGUGCUAAUACCGGAUAAUGUCGAGAAGCGGCAUCGCUUUUCGAAGAAAGGGGAGAAUCCGCUAUAGGGGGAGUCCGCGUCCCAUUAGCUAGUUGGUGAGGGUAACGGCCCAACAAGGCGACGAUGGGUAGCCGGGCUGAGAGGGUGAACGGCCACACUGGAACUGAGACACGGUCCAGACUCCUACGGGAGGCAGCAGUGGGGAAUAUUGUGCAAUGGGGGAAACCCUGACACAGCAACGCCGCGUGAGCGAAGAAGGCCUUCGGGUUGUAAAGCUCAAUAGUAUGGGAAGAUAAUGACGGUACCAUACGAAAGCCCCGGCUAACUACGUGCCAGCCGCCGCAGUAAUAC